rnacentral:rRNA from 1 species
UACGUAGGGGGCCAGCGUUGUUCGGAAUUACUGGGUGUAAAGGGUUCGUAGGCGGUGUGGCAAGUCGGGAGUGAAAUCUCUGGGCUCAACCCAGAGUCUGCUUCCGAAACUGCUGUGCUUGAGUGUGGGAGAGGCGCGUGGAAUUGCAGGUGUAGCGGUGAAAUGCGUAGAGAUCGGGAGGAACACCUGUGGCGAAGGCGGCCGACUGGGCCGACCCUGACGCUGAGGCGCGAAGGCGUGGGGAGCGAACGGG